rnacentral:rRNA from 1 species
AGAGUUUGGAUCCUGGCUCAGGAUGAACGCUAGCGGGAGGCUUAAUACAUGCAAGUCGAACGGUAAGGCCCCUUCGGGGGUACACGAGUGGCGAACGGGUGAGUAACGCGUACGCAAUCUACCUAUAACUGAGGGAUAGCCCCGGGAAACUGGGAUUAAUACCUUAUAAUAUUCUGAUUAGGCAUCUUUUCGGAAUUAAAACUCCGGUGGUUAUAGAUGAGCGUGCGUCCCAUUAGCUUGUUGGUAAGGUAACGGCUUACCAAGGCAACGAUGGGUAGCUGGCGUGAGAGCGCGAUCAGCCACACGGGCACUGAGACACGGGCCCGACUCCUACGGGAGGCAGCAGUAAGGAAUAUUGGACAAUGGGCGAAAGCCUGAUCCAGCCAUCCCGCGUGCAGGAUGAAUGCCCUCUGGGUUGUAAACUGCUUUUAUUAGGGAAGAAACCUUCCGAUUCAUCGGAAGCUGACGGUACCUAAUGAAUAAGCACCGGCUAACUCCGUGCCAGCAGCCGCGGUAAUACGGAGGGUGCAAGCGUUAUCCGGAUUUACUGGGUUUAAAGGGUGCGCAGGCGGGUUUGUAAGUCAGUGGUGAAAGCCUGGAGCUUAACUCCGGAACUGCCAUUGAUACUGCAAAUCUUGAGUACAGUUGAGGUGGGCGGAAUGCAGCAUGUAGCGGUGAAAUGCUUAGAUAUGCUGCAGA